GUCAGGAUGGCCGAGUGGUAUAAGGCGCCAGACUCAAGUUCUGGUCUUCGUGAGAGGGCGUGAGUUCAAAUCCCACUUCUGACA
rnacentral:tRNA from 1 species